rnacentral:rRNA from 1 species
GUGGAGGGAACGCGGGGAAGUGAAACAUCUCAGUACCCGUAGGAAGAGAAAACAACCGUGAUUCCGUGAGUAGUGGCGAGCGAAAGCGGAUGAGGCUAAACCGUGCACAUGUCAAGCUGUCAGGCGUUGUGUGUGCGGUGUUGUGGGACCCGCCUUGGAAGAUCUGACAGUCUUCCGGGUCUACGCGAGUGUUAGUGGAACUGUUUGGGAAAGCAGACCGGAGUGGGUGAGAGUCCCGUACGCGAAAACACUUGUUGUAGGUCUUGGUGGUGUUCCCGAGUAGCAGCGAGCUCGUGGAAUUUGCUGUGAAUCUGCCGGGACCACCCGGUAAGCCUAAAUACUUCCUGAAGACCGAUAGCGGACUAGUACCGUGAGGGAAAGAUGAAAAGUACCCCGGGAGGGGAGUGAAAGAGUACCUGAAACCGUGUGCCUACAAGCCGUCAGAGCCUUCGGGUGAUGGCGUGCCUUUUGAAGAAUGAGCCUGCGAGUUAGUGCUGCGUGGCGAGGUUAACCCGUGUGGGGUAGCCGUAGCGAAAGCGAGUCUGAAUAGGGCGAUUUUAGUCGCGUGGUCUAGACCCGAAGCGGAGUGAUCUACCCAUGGCCAGGGUGAAGCGACGGUAAGACGUCGUGGAGGCCCGAACCCACUUAGGUUGAAAACUGAGGGGAUGAGCUGUGGGUAGGGGUGAAAGGCCAAUCAAACUCCGUGAUAGCUGGUUCUCCCCGAAAUGCAUUUAGGUGCAGCGUCACAUGUUUCUCCACGGGGGUAGAGCUACUGGAUGGUCUAGGGGCCUUACCGGGUUACCGAAAUCAACCAAACUCCGAAUACCGUGGUGUGAGAGUGUGGCAGUGAGACGGCGGGGGAUAAGCUUCGUCGUCGAGAGGGAAACAGCCCAGAACACCAGCUAAGGCCCCUAAGUGUGUGCUCAGUGGGAAAGGAUGUGGGAUUGCCCAGACAACCAGGAGGUUGGCUUAGAAGCAGCCACCCUUGAAAGAGUGCGUAAUAGCUCACUGGUCAAGUGGUCCUGCGCCGACAAUGUAGCGGGGCUUAAGCAC